rnacentral:rRNA from 1 species
AACGUAGGACACAAGCGUUAUCCGGAGUUACUGGGCGUAAAGGGCGCGUAGGCGGCCGAUCAAGUCGGGGGUGAAAGCCUGUGGCUUAACCACAGAAUGGCCUUCGAUACUGUUUGGCUUGAGACCGGAAGAGGUUAGUGGAACUGCGAGUGUAGAGGUGAAAUUCGUAGAUAUUCGCAAGAACACCAGUGGCGAAGGCGGCUCACUGGCCCGGUACUGACGCUGAGGUGCGAAAGCGUGGGGAGCGAACAGG